UACGGGGGGGGCAAGCGUUGUUCGGAAUUACUGGGCGUAAAGGGCGCGUAGGCGGCCCUCUUUGUCGCGUGUGAAAGCCCCGGGCUUAACCUGGGAACUGCGUUUGAUACGGAUGGGCCAGAGUUCGGGAGAGGAGAGUGGAAUUCCCAGUGUAGAGGUGAAAUUCGUAGAUAUUGGGAAGAACACCGGGUGGCGAAGGCGGCUCUCUGGACCGAGACUGACGCUGAGGCGCGAAAAGCGUGGGGAGCAAACAGG
rnacentral:rRNA from 1 species